rnacentral:rRNA from 1 species
UACGUAGGGUGCGAGCGUUAAUCGGAAUUACUGGGCGUAAAGCGUGCGCAGGCGGUUUUGUAAGCCAGAUGUGAAAGCCCCGGGCUUAACCUGGGAACUGCAUUUGUGACUGCACGGCUCGAGUGCGGCAGAGGGGGAUGGAAUUCCGCGUGUAGCAGUGAAAUGCGUAGAUAUGCGGAGGAACACCGAUGGCGAAGGCAAUCCCCUGGGCCUGCACUGACGCUCAUGCACGAAAGCGUGGGGAGCAAACAGG